rnacentral:rRNA from 1 species
AAUUUCUGCUGCAAAUAACCGGUCUGCUUUUAUUAAUAAAAGUUGUAUCUUGGUGUGUUUUUAACAAUAAUGUCCUUUGAAAUGUUUUAUACUUUAUUGUAAAAAGCAAAUUUCAGGAUUUUUACUUUGAGAAAAUUAGAGUGUUUCAAGCAAGCUAACGUUUUGAGUACUGCAGCAUGGAAUAAUAAAAUAGGAUUUUAGUUUUACGUUAUUGGCUUAAAAAACUAAAUUAAUGAUUGAUAGGGGCAGUUGGGGGCAUUUGUAUUUAACUGUCAGAGGUGAAAUUCUUAGAUUUGUUAAAGACACACUACUGCGAAAGCAUUUGCCAAAGAUGUUUUCAUUAAUCAAGAACGAAAGUUAGGGGAUCGAAGACGAUCAGAUACCGUCGUAGUCUUAACUAUAAACUAUGCCGACUAGAGAUUG